rnacentral:rRNA from 1 species
AUUGAACGCUGGCGGCAGGCCUAACACAUGCAAGUCGAACGAGUGGCGGACGGGUGAGUAAUGUCUGGGCAACUGCCUGAUGGAGGGGGAUAACUACUGGAAACGUUAGCUAAUACCGCAUACCAUCAGAUGUGCCCAGAUGGGAUUAGCUAGUGGGGGGGGUAAAGGCUCACCUAGGCGACGAUCCCUAGCUGGUCUGAGAGGAUGACCAGCCACACUGGAACUGAGACACGGUCCAGACUCCUACGGGAGGCAGCAGUGGGGAAUAUUGCACAAUGGGCGCAAGCCUGAUGCAGCCAUGCCGCGUGUAUGAAGAAGGCCUUCGGGUUGUAAAGUACUUUCAGCGGGGAGGCGUUACCCGCAGAAGAAGCACCGGCUAACUCCGUGCCAGCAGCCGCGGUAAUAC